GUUGAAACGCUCGUAGUCUGAGGUAAAUCCUUUUGGAAUAACCGAUCGCCUGCCUAGCCAUCUGGCUGGGUAGAUCACGACGGUUUUUCACCUUGAAUAAAUCAGAGUGUUCAAGGCAGGCAUAGCCUGAAUACUUCCGCAUGGAAUGAGACGAAAAUUACUUCCCUUGUUUCGGUGCUUGGGUUUGUAAAUAUCUUUAGGAACAGUCGAGGACAUUAGUACUUAAUCGAGAGAGGUGAAAUUCUUGGACCGAUUAAUGACUAACAAAAGCGAAAGCAUCUGCCAAGGAUGUUUUCUUUGAUCAAGAACGAAGGUCGGGGUAUCGAAGACGAUCAGAUACCGUCGUAGUCCUGACUGUAAACUAUGCCGACUGGAGUUCCAUUGAGAAGCAUUCGACUCAGUGGGGAUCCAGAGAGAAAUCAAAGUUUUUGGGUUCUGGGGGAAGUAUGGUCGCAAGGCUGAAACUUGAAGGAAUUGACGGAAGGGCACCACCAGGCGUGGAGCUUGCGGCUUAAUUUGACUCAACGCGGGAAAACUUACCAGGUCAAAACAUGGUAAUGAUUGACAGGCUGAUAGUCCUUUCUCGAUUCCAUGGCUGGUGGUGCAUGGCCGUUCUUAGUUGGUGGACUGAUCUGUCUGGUUAAUUCCGGUAACGAACGAGACCUUGGCCUGCUAAUUAGGGGUGUUACUAUUGCAAUACCGCCUUCUUAGAGGGACAAUGAUGGUUACAUCACUGAAAGCUCGAGGCAAUAACAGGUCUGUUAUGCCCUUAGAUGUCCUGGGUCGCACGCGUGCUACA
rnacentral:rRNA from 1 species